UAAGGAAUAUUGGUCAAUGGACGAAAGUCUGAACCAGCCAUCCCGCGUGCAGGAUGACUGCCCUAUGGGUUGUAAACUGCUUUUAGUAGAGAAGAAACGCAGUCAUUUAUGAUUGCCUGACGGUACCUACAGAAUAAGCACCGGCUAACUCCGUGCCAGCAGCCGCGGUAAUACGGAGGGUGCGAGCGUUAUCCGGAAUCACUGGGUUUAAAGGGUGCGUAGGCGGGAAAUUAAGUCAGUGGUGAAAUCUUGUCGCUUAACGAUAAAAUUGCCAUUGAUACUGAUUUUCUUGAAUUGGGUUGAGGUUAGCGGAAUGUGACAUGUAGCGGUGAAAUGCAUAGAUAUGUCAUGGAACACCAAUUGCGAAGGCAGCUAGCUGGGCCUUGAUUGACGCUGAGGCACGAAAGCGUGGGUAGCGAACAGG
rnacentral:rRNA from 1 species